UACGAAGGGGGCUAGCGUUGUUCGGAAUCACUGGGCGUAAAGAGCACGUAGGCGGACUUGUUAGUCGGGGGUGAAAUCCCGGGGCUCAACCCCGGAACUGCCUUUGAAACUGCGAGUCUUGAGUCCGAGAGAGGUGAGUGGAAUUCCUAGUGUAGAGGUGAAAUUCGUAGAUAUUAGGAAGGACACCAGUGGCGAAGGCGGUUCACUGGCUCGGAACUGACGCUGAGGUGCGAAAGCGUGGGGAGCAAACAGG
rnacentral:misc_RNA from 1 species